GGUCCUGUAGCGUAAUGGUUAACGCGCCAGUUUCCGGCUGUUACGUACGCCUCGCUGGAGAUUGCAGAUUCGAGUUCUGCCAGGAUCG